ACGAAGGGGGCUAGCGUUGCUCGGAAUUACUGGGCGUAAAGGGAGCGUAGGCGGGUUAUCAAGUUGGGGGUGAAAGCCCGGGGCUCAACCUCGGAAUUGCCUUCAAAACUGAUAACCUGGAGUAUGGAAGAGGUAAGUGGAACUCCGAGUGUAGAGGUGAAAUUCGUAGAUAUUCGGAAGAACACCAGUGGCGAAGGCGACUUACUGGUCCAUUACUGACGCUGAGGCUCGAAAGCGUGGGGAGCAAACAGGA
rnacentral:rRNA from 1 species